UUACGUAUAUGUGUGAGUGAGUGGGAUAGCAAAAUAUGUGUGAAUGGUGGAUGCUAGAGAAAAUAACCAAGGCCUAGUUAAAAGUGCACCACCAGUUCAUCUCACCUGCCUCAUUGGGAAGGUGUAGCAUGAGCAUGUGUGCUAAGACUCAAAAGAGGAUGAACUAUGCCUAGGCAGGGUGAAGCCAGAGGAAACUCUGGUGAAGGUCCACAGUGAUCCUGACGUGCAAAUUGGUUAUCUAACCUGGGUAUAAUGGUGAAAGCCUAAUCAAAUCAUCUAGUGGCUGG
rnacentral:ncRNA from 1 species